GAGUGUGCGUUCCUGAAUCAAAGGGAAAAAAAAAGCCAAUGCAAUGCUGGCCAUAUGAUAAAUUGUUUUAGGAGUCACCAUACCUCCCAAGAGCAAAGACAAACGGUGACUCUAUCUGGAACAUGCUGUGGUCUUAGCAUCAUUUCUUAGCAUCUUUUUUUUUUUUUUUUUGAGACGAAGUGUCACUCUGUUGCCAGGCUGGAGUGCAGUGGCACGAUCUCUGCUCACUGCAACCUCCGCCUCCUGGGUUCAAGUGAUUCUCCUGCCUCAGCCUCCCGAGUAACUGGGACUACAGGCAUGUGCCACCAUGCCCAGCUAAUUUUUGUAUUUUUAGGAGAGGCGAGGGUUUCACCAUGUUGGCCAGGAUGGUCUCGAUCUCUUGACCUCGUGAUCUGCCUGCCUCAACCUCGCGAAGUGCUGGGAUUAUAGGCGUGAGCCACUGUGCCCGGCCAGCAUCAUUUCUUUUUAAGAAACCCAUAGAGAGCUGGGAAAUGACCAUAGAAAUGCAACUGAAACAAUACAUUUUUGAGUGUUAAAGAAGGUUCCCUAAAAGUUUACUCAAAAAACUGAAAGCUGAGGAAAGAAGAGAUAAAAUCCAAAGAACCACCAAAGGUUUAAUUAUAAAUUGGACAGUGACGCUGCCCUGAAGUUUGGAGAGACCGAAGGCUGCACCGUUGGCUUCCCUACUUUUGAGGUUUUGGGACUUGGACAGAUCCACUACUGGCUUCCUCUCUCCUCAACUUGCAGACGGCCUAUCGUGGGACUUCACCUCGUGAUCGUCUCUGUUCCCAACUUUCUCUCCAAGCCAAGAAACUUUGAUAUCUUUCAGCUCUUACAGUUCUUGCUCCUCACACCCUAG